UACGUAGGGGGCAAGCGUUGUCCGGAUUUAUUGGGCGUAAAGAGCGUGUAGGCGGCUUUACAGGUCCGUUGUGAAAACUCGAGGCUCAACCUCGAGACGCCGGUGGAAACCGUAAGGCUAGAGUCCGGAAGAGGAGAGUGGAAUUCCUGGUGUAGCGGUGAAAAUGCGCAGAUAUCAGGAAGAACACCCGUGGCGAAGGCGGCUCUCUGGGACGGUACUGACGCUGAGACGCGAAAGCGUGGGGAGCGAACAGG
rnacentral:rRNA from 1 species